CCCUCUUGAGAAAGUUCAAAGAGCUUCUUGUUUGUCGUAAAUCCUCGCAUUCGUAUGCUGCUUUGGAUCUCCAUCUUCUUCCGAUCUCGUCGUCUCUCUUCGCCUUGGAGUUGAUUAGAUCUCGAUUUGUGAAACCCUUGAAGUUUGCGCUUGAUUUAGUGUGAUUACAGGGAGGGUAUGGCGAAUCGGAUGAAGGAUGAUGAGAAGAAUGUGAAGAUUAUUUGAGGGCUUCAUUAAACAAUCUUUUCUCGGAGGUAUGCCAACCUUCCACUGAUGGGAAAAGCGGCCUUCUCAGAGCGGACUAUGACCAUGGCUCCAACUCACCCUACCCAAGAUUCUAGGUCCUCGCAUUGGUUACUUACCUUUGUUGGUACCUCUUUUGAAACCCUAUUUUAGUAGUACGCUUCCUCUGAGCGUUGACACUGUCUGGUUCGACUACAAAGGCUUGGCCUUGAAGUGGUUCGUUAUUCUUUUCAUCUCCUUGAGCUCUGGGAUUUCUUCAG